rnacentral:rRNA from 1 species
AACGAACGCUGGCGGCAGGCCUAAUACAUGCAAGUCGAGCGCGCCCUUCGGGGUGAGCGGCGGACGGGUGAGUAACGCGUGGGAAUAUGCCCUUCUCUAAGGAAUAGCCUCUGGAAACGGAGAGUAAUACCUUAUACGCCCUUUGGGGGAAAGAUUUAUCGGAGAAGGAUUAGCCCGCGUUAGAUUAGGUAGUUGGUGGGGUAAUGGCCUACCAAGCCUACGAUCUAUAGCUGGUUUGAGAGGAUGAUCAGCCACACUGGGACUGAGACACGGCCCAGACUCCUACGGGAGGCAGCAGUAGGGAAUCUUAGACAAUGGGGGCAACCCUGAUCUAGCCAUGCCGCGUGUGUGAUGAAGGCCCUAGGGUCGUAAAGCACUUUCGCCAGAGAUGAUAAUGACAGUAUCUGGUAAAGAAACCCCGGCUAACUCCGUGCCAGCAGCCGCGGUAAUACGGAGGGGGUUAGCGUUGUUCGGAAUUACUGGGCGUAAAGCGCACGUAGGCGGAUUAGUAAGUUAGAGGUGAAAUCCCAGGGCUCAACCCUGGAACUGCCUUUAAUACUGCUAGUCUUGAGUUCGAGAGAGGUAAGUGGAAUUCCGAGUGUAGAGGUGAAAUUCAUA